rnacentral:rRNA from 1 species
UAGGAUUAGAUACCCUAGUAUAUUAAUAAAUUAUAAGGUAGUAGAAAAAUCUUCCAAACCUAUUUAAUAUGGCGGCAUUCCAUCUCAUUAGAGCGAACCUGUUCAUUAAUCGAUAAUCCACGUUAAUUUUCACUCAAAUUAAAAAUUUAUAUACCGCCAUCCUAAACUAAUYCAAUAAUAAUAUUUCCACAUUAAAAAAAAAAAGUUAGGUCAAGGGUAGUCUAUAUUAAAGAUUUAUAAUGGGUUACUUUAAAAAAUAUUUAAGGAUUUUAAUAUAAAAAUAUUUUUUGAAAAAGGAUUUAAAAGUAAUAAUAAAAUAUUAUUUUAUUAUGAUUAAAAUAAUAAAUGAGCACAUAUCCCCCCCCCCA